GUUUGAUCAUGGCUCAGGAUGAACGCUGGCGGCGCACAUAAGACAUGCAAGUCGAACGGACUUAACCGAGAUGUUUACAUUUUGGAGCGGUUAGUGGCGGACUGGUGAGUAACACGUAAGCAACCUGCCUAUUAGAGGGGAAUAACAGUGAGAAAUCAUUGCUAAUACCGCAUAUGCUGUGAGUAUCGCAUGAUACAAGCAGGAAAGGAGCAAUCCGCUAAUAGAUGGGCUUGCGUCUGAUUAGAUAGUUGGUGGGGUAACGGCCUACCAAGUCGACGAUCAGUAGCCGAACUGAGAGGUUGAACGGCCACAUUGGGACUGAGAUACGGCCCAGACUCCUACGGGAGGCAGCAGUCGGGAAUAUUGCACAAUGGAGGAAACUCUGAUGCAGUGACGCCGCGUGCAGGAAGAAGGCUUUCGGAUUGUAAACUGCUUUAGAUGGGGAAGAAAAAAGACUGUACCCAUAGAAUAAGCUCCGGCUAACUACGUGCCAGCAGCCGCGGUAAUACGUAGGGAGCAAGCGUUGUCCGGAUUUAUUGGGUGUAAAGGGUGCGUAGACGGGUUAAUAAGUUAGUUGUGAAAUCCCUCGGCUCAACUGAGGAACUGCAACUAAAACUGUUAAUCUUGAGUGCGGGAGAGGAAAGUGGAAUUCCUAGUGUAGCGGUGAAAUGCGUAGAUAUUAGGAGGAACACCAGUGGCGAAGGCGACUUUCUGGACCGUAACUGACGUUGAGGCACGAAAGUGUGGGGAGCAAACAGGAUUAGAUACCCUGGUAGUCCACACCGUAAACGAUGGAUACUAGGUGUAGGGGGUAUUAAGCCUUCUGUGCCGUCGCAAACGCAGUAAGUAUCCCACCUGGGGAGUACGACCGCAAGGUUGAAACUCAAAGGAAUUGACGGGGGCCCGCACAAGCAGUGGAGUAUGUGGUUUAAUUCGAAGCAACGCGAAGAACCUUACCAGGGCUUGACAUAUACAGGAAUAUAUAAGAGAUUAUAUAGUUCUUCGGAACCUGUAUACAGGUGGUGCAUGGUUGUCGUCAGCUCGUGUCGUGAGAUGUUGGGUUAAGUCCCGCAACGAGCGCAACCCCUGUUUCUAGUUGCCAGCGAGUAAAGUCGGGAACUCUAGAGAGACUGCCGGUGACAAAUCGGAGGAAGGUGGGGACGACGUCAAAUCAUCAUGCCCUUUAUGUCCUGGGCUACACACGUACUACAAUGGCUAUAACAAAGAGAAGCGAAGCAGUGAUGUGGAGCGAAACUCAAAAAAUAGUCUCAGUUCGGAUUGAAGGCUGAAAUUCGCCUUCAUGAAGCCGGAAUUGCUAGUAAUGGCAGGUCAGCAUACUGCCGUGAAUACGUUCCCGGGCCUUGUACACACCGCCCGUCACACCAUGAGAGUUGGGAAUACCCGAAGCCUG
rnacentral:rRNA from 1 species